GACCGGGCGCAGGCAGAGCGCGGCGGUUCGGAUUUGUUUAUUAGAGAGAGAGAGAGAGAAGAAAGAGAGAGAGAGCACGAGAGCAGGUGUAUUCCAGAGAAUAAGUCUUCAAACAUCUUUGCCAUAUUGACUCUGAGUUGUCAGAGGACUCAGGCUUAUGAGGAGGUACUGUCACAUAAAACAGUGUCUAGUGAAGACGACAAGAAAGUGGGGAAGGGAUUGGAAAAAGAAGCUAAAACACUAUAGAAAACCAUGAGAUCUAUUAGAUCUUUUGCCAAUGAUGAUCGCCAUGUUAUGGUGAAACAUUCAACAAUCUAUCCAUCUCCAGAGGAACUUGAAGCUGUUCAGAAUAUGGUGUCUACUGUUGAAUGUGCCCUUAAACAUGUCUCAGAUUGGCUGGAUGAAACAAAUAAAGGCACAAAAACAGAGGGUGAGAUAGAAGUGAAGAAGGAUGAGGCUGUAGAUGCCUAUUCCAAGGAUCAAGGUGGUCGGACAUUGUGUGGUGUAAUGAGGAUUGGCCUGGUUGCAAAAGGCUUGCUGAUUAAAGAUGAUAUGGACUUGGAGCUGGUUUUAAUGUGCAAAGACAAACCCACAGAGACCCUGUUAAAUACAGUCAAAGAUAAUCUUCCUAUUCAGAUUCAGAAACUCACAGAAGAGAAAUACCAAGUGGAACAAUGUGUAGAUGAAGCUUCUAUUAUAAUUCGGAAUACAAAAGAGCCCACGCUAACUUUGAAGGUGAUACUUACUUCCCCUCUAAUUAGGGACGAAUUGGAGAAGAAGGAUGGAGAAAAGGUUGCGAUGAAAGAUCCUCCGGACUUAUUGGACAGGCAGAAAUGCCUGAAUGCCUUGGCGUCUCUUCGACAUGCCAAAUGGUUUCAGGCAAGGGCAAACGGAUUAAAAUCAUGUGUAAUUGUCCUCCGCAUUCUACGUGAUUUGUGCAACAGAGUUCCUACAUGGGCACCAUUAAAAGGAUGGCCACUAGAGCUUAUAUGUGAAAAGUCUAUAGGUACUUGUAAUAGACCUUUGGGCGCUGGGGAGGCCUUGAGACGAGUAAUGGAGUGUUUGGCAUCUGGAAUACUACUUCCUGGGGGUCCUGGUUUACAUGAUCCUUGUGAGCGAGACCCAACAGAUGCUCUGAGCUAUAUGACCAUCCAGCAAAAGGAGGAUAUUACCCACAGCGCACAGCAUGCACUCAGACUCUCAGCCUUUGGCCAGAUUUAUAAAGUGCUGGAGAUGGACCCCCUUCCAUCUAGUAAGCCUUUUCAGAAAUAUUCCUGGUCAGUUACUGAUAAAGAAGGUGCUGGGUCUUCAGCUCUGAAGAGGCCAUUUGAAGAUGGAUUAGGGGAUGAUAAAGAUCCCAAUAAGAAGAUGAAACGAAACUUAAGGAAAAUUCUGGAUAGUAAAGCAAUAGACCUUAUGAAUGCACUAAUGAGGCUAAAUCAGAUCAGGCCUGGGCUUCAGUAUAAGCUCUUGUCUCAGUCCGGCCCUGUCCAUGCCCCAGUCUUCACAAUGUCUGUAGAUGUGGACGGUACAACAUAUGAAGCCUCAGGGCCAUCCAAGAAAACAGCAAAACUUCAUGUAGCAGUGAAGGUGUUACAAGCAAUGGGAUACCCAACAGGCUUUGAUGCAGAUAUUGAAUGUAUGAGUUCCGAUGAAAAAUCAGAUAAUGAAGGCAAAAAUGAAACAGUGUCUUCAAACUCAAGCAAUAAUACUGGAAAUUCUACAACUGAAACCUCCAGUACCUUAGAGGUAAGAACUCAGGGCCCUAUCCUCACAGCAAGUGGCAAAAAUCCCGUAAUGGAGCUCAAUGAAAAAAGAAGAGGUCUUAAGUAUGAACUCAUCUCGGAGACUGGUGGAAGCCAUGACAAACGCUUUGUAAUGGAGGUAGAAGUAGAUGGACAGAAAUUCAGAGGUGCAGGUCCAAAUAAGAAAGUGGCAAAGGCAAGUGCAGCUUUAGCUGCCCUGGAGAAGCUGUUUUCUGGACCCAAUGCAGCAAAUAAUAAGAAAAAGAAGAUUAUCCCUCAGGCAAAGGGUGUUGUGAAUACAGCUGUGUCUGCAGCAGUCCAGGCUGUUCGGGGCAGAGGAAGAGGAACUCUGACGAGGGGAGCUUUCGUUGGGGCUACAGCUGCUCCUGGCUACAUAGCUCCAGGCUAUGGAGCACCGUAUGGUUACAGCACAGCUGCCCCUGCCUAUGGUUAAUACUUUUAAGCAGUUUUCAGCACGUUUAUCUCACUUUAUUCUCGUUCUCCUCGGACCUUCGUAGCCAUAUCACUUGUAUAAAAUAGGCUGAGAUCUAGUGACUGUAAGCUGUGGUCUCAGUAAACAAAGACACUACCAAGACCGUUUCUACCCUCUUGGGAAUAUGGAUUCAUUGAGAAACCUUCACUGUCACCUACUGAUAUUUACCAGGCUCUGUGUGGAAGGAACAGCUGGAGAAAAUAUCAGAUUUUCAGCUUAGACAACUGAGUAGAAGGUCUGGAGCUCACUGGAGUCAGCAUCUAUAAAACAUGGUGUUUAGCUGUGGGAAGUUGCAGACUGGCUUUACAGAGUACUUGAAAGAGGGCAGAAACACCAUGUAAGAUUUCUGUGUCUAGCUCAGGCCUGCCACCUGUUUCAUACUGAACAAGUGGCAGGAGGAAGCAAGAGGAGUCCAGGACUCUGAACGUGAAACCUUCGGCGUGGUUGAAGCAGCGGCCUGCGUGUGUGGACAGUCACCAGUGCCUCGCCCAGAGAUGCCUGGCCUUCAUCCAAAGGGACUCUCUUCCACUCCACCACCCACACUGCGGCUCUUCCGCACUGACUAUGUUGGACUUUGCCAUAGACUGAUCCUCUUGUCUGGCUGCUGCAGUUUGUCUGUAAUGCCCUGACAUGUUGCAUUCUCCCCAUUUGGAUGAAUAAAAAUAAAAGCUUCUGUCUUAAACAGCA